GAUGAAGAACGCAGCGAAAUGCGAUAAGUAAUGUGAAUUGCAGAAUUCAGUGAAUCAUCGAAUCUUUGAACGCACCUUGCGCCCUUUGGCUAUUCCGAAGGGCAUGCCUGUUUGAGUAUCAUGAACACCUCAACUCUCAUGGUUUGCCAUGAUGAGCUUGGACUCUGGGGGUCUUGCUGGCCUAUGGUCAGCUCCUCUCAAAUAAAUCAGCUUGCCAGUGUGUGGUGGCAUCACAGGUGUGAUAACUUUCUACGCUUGUGGUUUUCCAUCAGGUAACCUUCAGUGAUGGAGGUUCGCUGGAGCUCAUAAAUGUCCCUCCUCAGCGAGGACAGCUUUUUGAACGUUUGAUCUCAAAUCAGGUAGGACUACCCGCUGAACUUAAGCAUAUCAAUAAGCGGAGGA
rnacentral:misc_RNA from 1 species